rnacentral:lncRNA from 1 species
CCUUAUUAAAAAACGUCACAUUAAGAGCUAAGAUCUUGAGAUUCAGAGUCUGCUUCCUAGUGAUAAAGCUGCUAAGUACAAGUCAUGGACACAAGGCAGACAUUUCUUUAACCUGGUCUCUUCCAUCUGGAAUGUUCAAGCUAUUGCAUUAUUGGAUGCUGUUGAGUGAGGGUAGGCUUUGUUAAGUUGUCAGCAUCUGAUGUUUUCAUUCUAUCCUGUGGGCAGCUGUGCUGUGGUCCAUAGCAACUGUCUGGCUAAGCCGGGCAAGGUCACUCUGCUGCUUGAGUGGGUGAGAGCCUACAUGCACGUGCACCAGGCCCAGCCUUAGAGCCGAGCCUAUGAGCUUUGUUUGCCUUUCAGUGUUUUUCAUGCCUACAGUAUAGUCUAGGACCCUAUAAAUACAAUGCAUUCAUGGAGUCUCCACUUGAUGUUCCACUGUGUUCUCUAGAUUCACCUUUUCCUCGUUUCACAUGGGUCUGUUUUUGUCAGUUUUCAUGAUUGCUUUGAUCCCCCCCCCCCCCAUGUUAUAUGCACUUUGCCAUCACAGAAGGUCUGUGGAGUUGGAACAUUUGAGGUUCCGACAUUUAAGCUUAGACUAAGGCAGAUACUCUGUGCUGUGAACCUAAAACUUGGUUCAGAUUCAUUGUUUCUCUUUCAGACUUAACUCUAGCUGUGUUGUACACCCUUUAGGCUGCAUGUUAGGAGGGUGACAAAUUUAGGCAGUAAUAAUGGAGUAUGCGUGCUCCUACUUUACUUCUACAGACUCCCAGCCAGAGCUCAAACAGCUUUCUCUUGGCUCUUCCUUCUAGACCACACCCGUGACCAUGCAGGUUGGAGAAGGUCAGCAGGUGCAGAUUGUGCAGGCCCAACCUCAGGGUCAGGCCCAGCAGGCCCAGAGUGGUACUGGACAGACCAUGCAGGUGAUGCAGCAGAUCAUUACCAACACAGGAGAGAUCCAACAGAUCCCGGUGCAGCUGAAUGCCGGCCAGUUGCAGUAUAUCCGCUUAGCCCAGCCUGUAUCAGGCACCCAAGUUGUGCAGGGACAGAUCCAGACCCUUGCUACCAAUGCCCAACAGAUCACACAGACAGAGGUCCAACAAGGACAGCAGCAGUUCAGCCAGUUCACAGACGGACAGCAGCUGUACCAGAUCCAGCAAGUCACCAUGCCUGCAGGCCAAGACCUUGCCCAGCCCAUGUUUAUUCAGUCAGCCAACCAGCCCUCUGAUGGGCAGACCCCCCAGGUGACUGGAGACUGAGGCCUGAGCUGCAAAGCCAAGGACCCCCAACACAAUAUUUGCCAUAGAGCCCCCAGGCGAUGGGGACACACCUUCCCUCACCAGAGGACCCGGGACUUCAUUGCCUCCUGCAGGCUAAGAUACUGGUGCACUACUCUCCACGCCUGGGGACUGAGAGCCUACAACAGAAAGAUGCAAUAUUUUUUAUUUUUUAUUUUCUUUUUUUCAUUUUUGUCUCCAAGGAAUCAAUAUUUCAAUAUAUCGAGCUAUGUGUCCAAUGCUAUGAAACGAGAAUAUUAAAUAACAUAUUUAUGGCAUUUUCUUGAAACGUGUGGUUGAAGAAAUAAUUCUCUUGUGUGUUUCCUGGCUUGGGCACUCACCACCACUGCUAAAGGGCAGGGCAGCCUGUGCUCUUCCUUCCCAAGGGUGUACAGGAUUUCCACUCUGCCAGUUCUGCCCUCAGAAAAAGAGAAAGGGUCAGACCCUUUUCCACCAGCAUUCUUCUCUGCCCCUUUCCUAGAGCCUUCCGCAUCCAGAAGAUGUGGGAACAUUUCUUGCCUGUGGGCCAUGAACUCAUUCUCCACAGAG